AAAAUCCGUCGACUUUAAAAAUCGUGUGGGUUCAAGUCCCUCUAUCCCCA
rnacentral:tRNA from 1 species